rnacentral:rRNA from 1 species
AUGCAGUCGAACGAGAAAGUGGAGCAAUCCAUGAGUAAAGUGGCGACCGGGUGAGUAACACGUGACUAACCUACCUUUCAGUGGGGAAUAACCUCGGGAAACCGUGGCUAAUACCGCAUAAUGUCUUCGGACCAAAGGAGCAAUUCGCUGGAAGAGGGGGUCGCGGCCGAUUAGCUAGUUGGCGGGGUAACGGCCCACCAAGGCAAUGAUCGGUAGCCGGCCUGAGAGGGCGCACGGCCACACUGGAACUGAAACACGGUCCAGACUCCUACGGGAGGCAGCAGUGGGGAAUUUUGCGCAAUGGGGGAAACCCUGACGCAGCAACGCCGCGUGGAGGAUGAAGCCCCUUGGGGUGUAAACUCCUUUCGAUCGGGACGAUGAUGACGGUACCGGAUGAAGAAGCACCGGCUAACUCUGUGCCAGCACCCGCGGUAAUACAGAGGGUGCAAGCGUUGUUCGGAAUUAUUGGGCGUAAAGGGUGCGUAGGCGGUGCGGUAAGUCUGUUGUGAAAUCUCCGGGCUUAACUCGGAGCCUGCAACGGAAACUGCCGUGCUGGAGUAUGGGAGAGGUGAGUGGAAUUCCCGGUGUAGCGGUGAUAUGCGUAUAUAUCGGGAGGAACACCUGUGAUGAAAAGCGGCUCACUUGGACCAUUACUGACGCUGAUGCACGAAAGCAGGGGAGCAAACCGGAUUAGAUACCCUGGUAGUCCUAGCCCUAAACGAUGAUCGCUUGGAGUUGGCAGGAACCCAAUCCUGUCUUGCCGGAUCUAACGGGUUAAUCG